GACCGCGUAGCUCAGUUGGCAGAGCAUUGGGCUAGUGUUGCAAAGGUCGUAGGUUCGAUUCCCACCGUGGUCA